rnacentral:lncRNA from 1 species
GGAGAGGAAUUGAGGAAGGACAGAGAGCAGGAGCAUAUGGACAGAGGAGAGGCAGAAGCCGGGCUCUGCAGGGCUGUGGAAGCUGGAGGAGUAGGUUGUCCCAGAGUCCCGUACCCCUGGGGAUCCAGGAAGUUACACUGAGGUGAGGCCAACUGCUCUGUGUGUGGAAGCCAGAGAAGAAAGCAGCACAGAACAGAUGCAAACCAAGGAGGCUGGAAGAUAAGAGCAGAGCCAUCAGGACACGAGCCCCUCGCGGGUAUGAAACAGGAGUCGUGGGAGCAAAUUAGUAGGUGCACUGCAUGGAGGGACGGAAGGGGCAGGGAGGAGCAUCUGAAUGUAAGAUUUCAGAGAAGCUCAUUUUGUCAGCAUUUCAGAGCUUCCUGUGUGCAGCAUGGAUCUAAAGCUGGUGGAUGCAGGGGGGUGAACAAGACAACAUCUUCACUUCCUGCAUGCUGAUGGCAGAAGUGAGACAUCAGCGAAGAAACAUCACGAUCACCAAAUUACGAUGAACACCAUGGAGGAAACAAAGGACACUGUGACACCAAGGAAGGAAGGGAGGUUACUUUUCAUAGUGGCUGUAAAUAGAACUGAAGGCUGAAAAACAGCUGUUAAAAUGGCUUGUUUGUUUGAAGAUGAAUGAGAGUACACAAUAAAAGGUAAUUCUCCCUCCCA